rnacentral:piRNA from 1 species
UGUAGAUGGUUCUCGACUGUGCUCAGCUA